AUGAUAGAAAUUUAAACCCUUUUUAAAGUAUCAAUUGGAGGGCAAGUCUGGUGCCAGCAGCCGCGGUAAUUCCAGCUCCAAUAGCGUAUAUUAAAAUUGUUGCAGUUAAAAAGCUCGUAGUUGAAGUUCUGCUAAAAGUAACCGGUCUGCUUUUAAUAAAAGUGGUAUCUUGGUGUGUAUUUAGCAAUGAUGUCCUUUGAAGUGUUUUUUACUUUAUUGUAAUAAAGCAUAUUCAGGACUUUUACUUUGAGAAAAUUAGAGUGUUUCUAGCAGGCCGACGCUUUGAAUACUGCAGCAUGGAAUAAUAAGAUAGGAUUUUAGUUCUACAUUAUUGGUUUUAA
rnacentral:rRNA from 1 species